rnacentral:rRNA from 1 species
GACGAACGCUGGCGGCGUGCUUAACACAUGCAAGUCGAACGGAAAGGCCCUGCUUUUGUGGGGUGCUCGAGUGGCGAACGGGCGAGUAACACGUGAGUAACCUGCCCUUGACUUUGGGAUAACUUCAGGAAACUGGGGCUAAUACCGGAUAGGAGCUCCUGCUGCAUGGUGGGGGUUGGAAAGUUUCGGCGGUUGGGGAUGGACUCGCGGCUUAUCAGCUUGUUGGUGGGGUAGUGGCUUACCAAGGCUUUGACGGGUAGCCGGCCUGAGAGGGUGACCGGCCACAUUGGGACUGAGAUACGGCCCAGACUCCUACGGGAGGCAGCAGUGGGGAAUAUUGCACAAUGGGCGGAAGCCUGAUGCAGCAACGCCGCGUGCGGGAUGACGGCAUUCGGGUUGUAAACCGCUUUCGCCUGUGACGAAGCGUGAGUGACGGUAAUGGGUAAAGAAGCACCGGCUAACUACGUG